AUUUAUUAGAUAAAAAGCCAAUACAUGCUUUUAUAGUAUGAAUGUUGGUGAUUUACAAUAACUUAGCAAAUCGCAUAGUGUAAACAGGCGAUAAAUCAUUCAAGUUUCUGACCUAUCAGCUUUCGACGGUAUGGUAUUGGCUUACCGUGGCAGUGACGGUUAACGGGGGAUUAGGGUUCGAUUCCGGAGAGGGAGCCUGAGAAACGGCUACCACAUCUAAGGAAGGCAGCAGGCGCGCAAAUUACCCAAUUCUAACAGUAUAAGAGAGGUAGUGACAAGAAAUAACAGUACAAGGCAGUUAAAAUGCUUUGUAAUUGGAAUGAUAGAAAUUUAAACACUUUUUAAAGUAUCAAUUGGAGGGCAAGUCUGGUGCCAGCAGCCGCGGUAAUUCCAGCUCCAAUAGCGUAUAUUAAAAUUGUUGCAGUUAAAAAGCUCGUAGUUGAAUUUGUGUUAAAAAUAACCGGUCUGCUUUUAAUAAAAGUAGUAUUUUGGUGUGUUUUUAGCAAUAAUGUCCUUUGAAAUGUUUUUUACUUUAUUGUAAUAAACCAUAUUCAGGAUUUUUACUUUGAGAAAAUUAGAGUGUUUCUAGCAGGCUAACGCUUUGAAUA
rnacentral:rRNA from 1 species